rnacentral:rRNA from 1 species
CCUACGGGGCGCAGCAGUGGGGAAUAUUGCACAAUGGGGGAAACUCUGAUGCAGCGACGCCGCGUGCGUGAAGAAGUAAUUAGUAAUGUAAAGCUCUAUCAGCAGGGAAGAAAAUGACGGUACCUGAGUAAGAAUCACCGGCUAACUCCGUGCCAGCAGCCGCGGUAACACGUAGGGGGCAAGCGUUAUCCGGAUUUACUGGGUGUAAAGGGAGCGUAGACGGCAGUGAAAGUCUGUGGUGAAAGGCGGGGGCUCAACCUCCGUACUGCUCUUGAAACUGUACGGCUGGAGAGCAGGGGAGGUAAGUGGAAUGCAUGGUGUAGCGGUGAAAUGCUUAGAGAUUAGGCGGAACACCAGUGGCGAAGGCAGCUUACUAGGCUGUAUCUGACGUUGAGGCUCGAAAGCGUGGGGAGCAAACAGGAUUAGAUACCCCGGUAGUC